AGUUUAGGCCAGUGUGGUUCAGUGAUUUCACAUACUGAAUUAUUAUCUCUGUUUUGACAAAAUUUGAACGCAUGUAUCAUGGCUUUGACUUGUUUGAAGAUUCAGGAUUAGGAUAAACAUCGUUUUUGUUUUGGUGAUAAUGGAUGUUCCUAUCCCAUUUUGAAUUUGAAUCUUUGGAAUAUUGUUGGAAGCAUGUUAGUUGUUCAGGCGAUGGAUGUAGAUAAGAAUAAUCCUAGUGUCAGGGAUACUUUCUAUUUAAAUACUGACUUAAGCAGCACUAAAGAUGGGAACAGCAAGAGAAAGAGCUUCUUCAGUCAGCCACAGGGGACUCUUGAAUACAGGGUGAUGGCACGAGACACUCUGGACAGUAUCGCCCUUUCAUUUGAUACCUCACCCUCUCUACUUAUGAGACUCAAUCAUCGUACAAGUAGGAUGAUAUUCCCUGGUCAGGUGGGUAUUCUAUCUCUCCCUCUCCUACUCCCAUUUUCCUUCGCCCACUUUUCUUUUUCAGAUUCAGUCAUUCUCCAUAACAUCUUUGGCAUGGUUUAUCUUGUUCUCUUACUUGUCCACUACUUUAUCCUCCGUUCUCCCCCUCAUCCUGCAACUCAAAACACAUCCCUUUUCACCUUUGCUGUUAAUACUCUCUCUGUAUUCUUCUCAUCAGUAAUAAUAUUAUUAUUAUUAGGUGAUCUGUCAAUCGACAGAUCAACUGUUAAUUUUGUAUGAAUUUUCUUUUUUAUUUAUUUAUAUGUUUUUUUGGUUUUUUCCGCCCUUUUCUUGUUAGCACAAAAUCUACAUCAUCAAUUAUCUUCAAAAUAUCAUCAGAUAUGGGGAUUUAUCAUGUCAUGUGUAUAAAACAAGUUCAAGGUCAAAAGGUCAUCAUGACAUCAUCUAGACGCCAUUUUGUAAAAUCACAUUAUCAAUUUUCAAAAAUUAACAAUAUUUACAUCACAUUAACUUCAGAUCAAGGGUCAACUGUCCAUCAAAAUCACUUUUUGACCAAAGUAGAGUAUGAUUCAAGUCAUUUUAAGCAUUUCAAAAAUUUGCACGCGCACACGGUUACGCGCGCGUUCUCGUGCGUAACGGCACUACAGAGCAUAGGAUCGCCAUUUUUUUUAUAUCGAUGCAACGAUAACAUAAAUCUGAAUAAUUUGAUACCUUGAUCAACCUUCUACGACAAGUAAUAACGGAAUUAGCCUCCAUCAAAGUUUACAGCAAUUGCGCGCGCACGCACUAACCAUAGACAAUAUAUGUGCAAAAACAUGCCUAUACAAAAUUCAUUCUAGCUCUUCAGGAAGUCCGUUGACCCCCAAUUUUUUUUUUCGUAUUCGAAUAGAGUAUGGAUGGGAGAUAUGAUUUCAUGCCACUUUUAACCCUUAAAAAUGGCGUCGGAACUCAAAAUUUCCACUUUGCUACUUAUGACGUCAUCAUAGUUAUGCAUAUUUGACUCUAACUCCGUAAACAUUGGUCAAUUUUCGCUCAGUUUUUGUCUCACCUGCAUAGCAGAGUGAGACUAUAGGCACCGCUUUUCCGACGGCGACGGCGGCGGCGACGGCGACGGCGGCGUCAACACCAAAUCUUAACCUGAGGUUAAGUUUUUGAAAUGACAGCAUAACUUAGAAAGUAUAUGGACCUAGUUCAUGAAACUUGGCCAUAAGGUUAAUCAAGUAUUACUGAACAUCCUGCCUGAGUUUCAUGUCACAUGACCAAGGUCAAAGGUCAUUUAGGGUCAAUGAACUUAGACCAUGUUGGGGGAAUCAACAUCAAAAUCUUAAUAACCUAAGGUUAAGUUUUUGAAAUGUCAUCAUAACUUAGAAAAUAUAUGGACCUAGUUCAUGAAACUUAUACAUAAGGUUAAUCAAGUAUCACUGAACAUCCUGCAUGAGUUUCACAUCACAUGACCAAGGUCAAAGGUCAUUUAGGGUCAAUGAACUUUGGCCGAAUUGGGGGUAUCUGUUGAAUUACCAUCAUAACUUUGAAAGUUUAUGGAUCUGAUUCAUGAAACUUGGACAUAAUAGUAAUCAAGUAUUACUGAACAUCCUGUGCAAGUUUCAGGUCACAUGAUCAAGGUCGAAGGUCAUUUAGGGUCAAUGAACUUUGGCCAAAUUGGGGUAUUUGUUGAAUUACAGCCAUAAAUUUGAAAGUGUUUUGGUCUAGUUCAUAAAACUUGGACAUAAUAGUAAUCAAGUAUCACUGAACAUCCUGUGCGAGUUUCAGGUCACAUGAUCAAGGUCAAAGGUCAUGUAAGGUCAAAGAACUUUGGCCACGUUGGGGGUAUUUGUUGAAUUGCCAUCAUAUCUCUAUAAGUGUAUUGGUCUAGUUCAUAAAACGUGGAAAUAAGAGUAACCAAGUAUCACUGAACAUCUUGUGCGAGUUAUAGUAGUUUUCAAAAUCAGCACUGCUGCUAUAUUGAAUCGCGUGAUGCAGGUGAGACGGCCAGAGGCAUUCCACUUGUUUAUAUGUUGUAGCUGAGGACAUACUCUUUCUAAUGUGAUGGCUAUAUUUACAUUUAAAGGAACGAAUCAUCCUGAAAAAUGGCAAGUUAUAGAGGCAUGUCAUUUUCGCUCAUUUUGUGUGCAAUCUCUAUGGGAAAUGACUUUUUCUCAAAACUUGACUUUACAUUCCUCUAUUUCGCGAGCCAUAUCUCCAUUUCUUUUUGUCGGUUUUCUCUGAGCUUGGAGUAUGUUGUAGCUGAGAUUCUAAGCUAUCAUUAAUGUGGUCUCCAUUUUCCGAUCAGAUGCCGGGAUCAUGCCCGUAUUUCUCUUGCAAAAUUGGAUUUCAGAUCCUCUUAAUUUGCUUAUGUGUAAAGUCUAUGGGAAAUAGUGUAGCUCAAUUGGUAUUAGGCAUCAGACUUGCAUCUCCAGGGUCCAUGGUUUGAGCCCAGGGGCAGGGUUGUAAUAAAAAAUGUU